rnacentral:tRNA from 1 species
GGGCCCAUAGCUCAGUUGGAAGAGCAACCGGCUCAUAACCGGUUGGUCCCUGGUUCGAGCCCAGGUGGGCCCA